CCUGGCGGCCAUAGCGGCGUGGUCCCACCUGAUCCCAUCCCGAACUCAGAAGUGAA
rnacentral:rRNA from 1 species